UUGCUUCAGCAGCACAUAUACUUAAAUUGGAACUAUACAGACAAGAUUAGCAUGACCCUGCACUAGGAUGACACUCAAAUUCAUGAAGUGAUUCAUAUAUUU
ensembl:snRNA U6 U6 spliceosomal RNA